rnacentral:SRP_RNA from 1 species
GCUGGGCACGGUGGUGCGUGCCUGUAGUCCCAGCUACUCGGGAGGCUGAGGUGGGUGGGAGGAUCGCUUGAGCCCCGGAGUUCUGGGCUGUAGUGCGCUAUGCCGAUUGGAUGUCCGCACUAAGUUCGGCAUCAAUAUGGUGACCUCCCAGGAGCGGCGGACCACCAGGUUGCCCAAAAAGGAAUGAACCGGCCCAGGUUGGAAACGGAGCAGGUCAAAACUCCAGUGCUGAUCAGUAGUGGGAUCACAUCUGUGAAUAGCCACUGCACUCCAACCUGGGCAACAUAGAGAGACCUGUUUUUU